GUGGUUGCCAGGCUGGGCAUGAGCUGAAGCCUGGAAGCUCCUGCUGUACUUGGAAAUCUGAACUUUUCCCAAGGUUUCAUGUUCACAGGACCUGAGCUGUGUGUGGUACUGGGAUUGAGAAGUGGCCCUGUUACUCUAAACACCUUGGUUACUGGAUUUUAUCUUGUGGGCUUCUCCUUCAAGUUGUCUUCCUUCUCCUAAGUUGUCUCCUUCAAGUAUGUCUUCCCUUCCUAUCUGGGCCUUGGUGAGCAUCUUUCAAGUGUCACACGAAUGCUACUUCUACCCUACCAUCAAGAUUUUUAAAAACACCAAAGAAUCUGUUAGGGUAAACUGAGGCACAACUGAGCUCACUGGAGCAGGCAAGAAAUGAAGUAACAAGCAAGAUUUUAUUUCCAGCCUGGGUGCAGGAUGUGUAACAGGAUUUCCCUGGGAAGUUUUUCUCUUCUGCCUGGGCAGAAUCAGUUGAGAGCUACCAGCAACAGACUUUUGACCUCCAAAUGUGUCUGCACUGUAGCCCACACAUACCCCACUGUCCUGAUACAGGUAGGAAACAGUGGCAGCAUGUGCCAUGGUUCCUCAGGAAAUACUUUUCCCGUGUAUGUGGAGAUACCUUUGUUUCCAAACCUGGAGAGAGCAUAAAUAUACUACACAGAGCACUUGUGCUGGGACUCCUG
rnacentral:lncRNA from 1 species